GUAGAGAGAAGAAGAGAGAGAGAGAGAGAGGCGUGAGCUAGAGAGAGAAGGAGAAGAAGAAAGAAAGGAAGAAGAAGGAGAAGAGGGAAUCAAUUCUAGGGCUUGAACAAGGGUGAUAUAGUUUGAGUAUUGGUCAUCUUGUGUAUUCUUGAUUUCACAAAUCAAGAGAGAGAACGCUUUAGAAGAUCUUGGUGUGAGUACGUGGGAGCGGCUUGGAUAGGAAGAUCGUUCUAAAUACGAAAAGAUAGCAAGGGCACUUGAUAGGCUUCAAGAGGUAUGAUUUCUAUUAUUAUCUUGCUUAUGAUUAAUGUAUGUAUAUUAAUGGAUCCGCAUAUUUAAAGGUAGUUUAAAUAUGUUACAAAAUUUUUGUUGUACACUGGGCCAACCACACCACCAUUCCGCUGCGUAUUAGGAAACUCGUUCCUAACAGUGUGGAUGGCCCAUACACACAUGGGUUAUAUGAGUGGGCAAAAUAGAGUUUUAUGUGAUGCUAAAGAAUGUUAUUUGGUUAUGGUAUAGGCUCGUUGUGAAGUUGUCAUUUUUGUUUUGCUUGGACCUGAGGUAAGGAAGUUAGAUAGAAGUUUUUUUUGUUUAUGCUAUGAAUGGUAAGAUUGCAUUGUAUGAAUAAAAAUGUUAUGUAUGAUGAUAUUUUGCGAUAUGAAUAGUAAAUUUCUAAUGUAUGUUGAUAUGACUGGAUUGUAAGUCAUUGAAUGUUGUAUGAUAUGAAAUAGUUGUUAGCGUGAUGAACGCGACUCAACAAAAAGAGGUUACUAAGGAUGUGAAGAUGUAACCCGAGUUACUAAGGAUAAGAAGAUGUAACUCCUAGGGCAGACGCGCCGAGGUUAUUCAAGGACCAGAGAUCCUGUUUACCUCAAGAGGUGACAUGGACAAGUUAGCGAGCCAUGUUCACAAAGAUAUGAUGUUUAUGUUAUGGUGUUAUAAUGAUGAUGACUUUGUAUAUGAUGCCAAUGUUGUGAUGAUUAUGUUUAUGUUUACGAUAAUUAUGCUAUGAAGUAUGACGAUGUAUGAAUAUAAAUAUAUUUUGUUGUGUUUUACUUAUGUGAUAUUUGUACUUCCUUACUGGGCUUUUAGCUCACCCUCUUACUUUCCCUUCUAGGUAGCAAAUAGGUUUCGCCAUGGCAUGCGUGGUGAUGUGGGGAGUUCUAUCGUCAUGGUGUGUAUGGCGUGGGGGCAUCCUAUGGACGAGAAACGAUCAGUUAAAACGCCAUUUUUUAAAAAUAAUGUUAUGCUUAUUUUGACAUUCUAAACUUAUCAGUGGGACUUGAACUUUGGUUAGUUUUAAGAACUUUGCAUGAAAACUAUUAUUUUUCUUUUUGAACUAUUGGGCCCAACUUGCAUGUUUUAGCAAGGCCCAACUGGGAUUUUACAAUAAGUGGCUUUUUCCCCUAUAAAUUAAUGAGUAUGCAAAUGUUUUACAAAGUAUUAGAUUAGGAUGUUUUACACCUAGGGUUAGGGUCGGCGGCAUGGUGAGCCAAGGGCUCGGCAAGGGCGGCGCAGGUGGCUGGGGAAUCACAUGGUGGAAAGGCGUGGGAUGGCUGCAGGCACGCAGAGUUGCGAGUGUGCAAAGGCUCAGGCUGGCGCACACUAGAGGCAGGGCCACGGGGCCUGAGUGACGUGUGUGGAGCAUGGGCCACAUCUUGCCAACACGUGACUAUCGAUAAUGAUGGGAUCGUCCAAUGGAUAAAUAAAUUUGUCCUACAAUAAAAGUUUAAAAUUUAUAAAAAUUAUAUUAGGAUCUCAUUAGUAUUUAUUUUAAUUAAUGUUAGAUACUCACCAAUAAUCUCUAACAAAUGACCUGGAUAUCACUCAGGGCCACAUCUUGCCAACACGUGACUAUAAGGGAUAUGGUUUCUCCCACAUGUAGCACCAUAGAGUUAUUUGUAAGUCUGUACAUCUUUACUAGUAUUCGGCUUAAACUCGACAAGCAGACGGGUAAGCUUCUUCUUUGCUAGCUAUUUCUCGAUGUUGGCACCAUAGAAAGCUUCUCGACCCCUCUUGCUACCCCCGCUUUCAUCUAUCGAUGCUUUCAUACUAUAUAUUAAAAUUUUCGUUACAUAUUUGAUAACUCCAUUUUAGUGUUGUUUUAGGAUGUGUUUUUGUGGUAAUCUUGAGUAUUUAUGUUUGUUUUUGUGUUUGUUGUAGGUAGGUGCAUUGAAUCAUGAGACAAAUGUAAAAAAGAAGAGGAAAUGGUGAAAAAAAGGAGCUUCCAGUGGUUGAUUGGCUCAAAAUGGCGCUAAGGACGAGUUGUAAUAAGUUUAUGAUGAAGGAAGGAUGUUGAUGUAGAGUCCAAGAACUUUACUUAGCUAAUUGUUUAGUAGUAUUAUAGUAUGUUUAGUAUUAUCUUUGUAACAGUGGAUUUUUGGUUCAGACCGGGAAUUAUUUGGACACUCAUAGUAGUACUUAUA